GAUUGUUGUUGUUAAGGUUGUUGUUGUUGUUAAGGUUAAGGUUGUGGUUGUAGGCUUGGUUUUGUUGGGUUUGGAAUUCAGCUAAGGUGCGCUUUCCGAUGAUGCGAUGUUGAGGGAUCUGUGAGGAAGGAUCUAGAAAAAUUGGAGGAAGUGGUUGAUGUUGGUGGUGGUGUUGGGGAUGGUGUUGGGUUCGGUAAAGAGAGGGAUGAUUGAGGUUGUUGAUGGUGAGGGAAGGGGUUGUUGUGAUAAGGUUGUUGAUGGUGUUUGUUGGUCUACCGGUGAGAUACUCCGACGAUCCACCACCACCGGAAUUAAAACCAGAUGAUGACAUUCUUUUUUCUCUCCGGUGAUGUAGAAUCAGCGAAGAAAAUAAGGGAAAAGAAACAGUGUUAAAAGGUUGUGUUUUCGGAGAAACGCAUGAGACACAUUAGAGAAUGAGAGAGAGGAGGUGAUGGUGGGUCUUUAUGGGUUGAAUUGAUUCGGGUGAAUAUAAAGAAGGAAAGCUAUGAUUUUUUU
rnacentral:lncRNA from 1 species